CAACAAUGGAUUCCCUUGUCCUGUCUUUUACCUUUCGUUUCAGCUCAAUGGUGAGCCGUCGCUAACCCCAAGCCGCGCCGAUCUCCAACCUAUCCGGUCCGGCCUUGCCUCACCGAGCCUCCGUCAGCUAGAUCUGGCGACCAUUGUUGCGUCCUCGACCACGACACACCAUGGAUCUGCUAGCCUCCACCCUGCCGCAGCUGGAGCCCAGCUCCCCAAAACGUCAUACACUCCUCCCUGCACAUAUUCAUUGGAACAAGGAAAAGUACACAUUGAAUUUCUUCCAUCGUAUAUGGAUUCAGAAAGGUUGGUUGCAUUGCUCAGAAAAAUUGGUCAUCAAAAUAGAAUUGGGCAGCUAGUGGUGAUAAAGCACGAGCUUCUCCAUUAACCAGAAGGCUCAACAGGGAAGACUGAGAUUUGAUUGUGGAGUUGAUGUGUGAUUAGGCACAUGGAUUUGAGGUUGGAUUUUCUUCUGCUUCCGGCAUAUGGAUUAGGUAGGAUUAUGCAAGUUUUUGACCUAGCUUGAUGGAUCCGUGUCUACAAAAAAAGCUAGGAUUUCUAGAUGGGAGGAUUUUAUGCUGACCACGCUGAAGCCAAUUGCAUGUUCUCCAAGUCUGUUUUUUUUUUUUGGAAGUUUUUUUCCACCUUAUUGAGAGGCAGAUCAUUAGUGG